rnacentral:rRNA from 1 species
GCGGGGGAUCAUGGACUACUCAGGAAAGAGUCGGCUAAUACCAAAGUCAUACGCCCUACGGGGGAAAGGGGGGGAUGCAAGACCUCUCACUAUUGGAGCGGCCGAUAUCGGAUUAGCUAGUUGGUGGGGUAAAGGCUCACCAAGGCAACGAUCCGUAGCUGGUUUGAGAGGACGACCAGCCACACUGGGACUGAGACACGGCCCAGACUCCUACGGGAGGCAGCAGUGGGGAAUUUUGGACAAUGGGGGAAACCCUGAUCCAGCCAUCCCGCGUGUAUGAUGAAGGCCUUCGGGUUGUAAAGUACUUUUGGCAGAGAAGAAAAGGCAUCCCCUAAUACGGGAUGCUGCUGACGGUAUCUGCAGAAUAAGCACCGGCUAACUACGUGCCAGCAGCCGCGGUAAUACGUAGGGUGCAAGCGUUAAUCGGAAUUACUGGGCGUAAAGCGUGUGUAGGCGGUUCGGAAAGAAAGAUGUGAAAUCCCAGGGCUCAACCUUGGAACUGCAUUUUUAACUGCCGAGCUAGAGUAUGUCACAGGGGGGUAGAAUUCCACGUGUAGCAAUGAAAUGCGUAGAUAUGUGGAGGAAUACCGAUGGCUAAG